rnacentral:tRNA from 1 species
GGGGGCAUAGCUCAGGGGUGGAGUGUUGGACUGCAAACCAAGAGGUCACCAGUUCGAUUCCAGAUGCCCCCU